AUGCCAUGCACCCAGGGACACCUCCGCACCCAGCACCAGGGACAGAGCAGCACACGGUGGGUGACUGGAGCCAGCACGUGUUUUCUGGAGAGCCACAGCUGUGUGAAUCAGUUCAUCACUAACAAGGGCUGGGAGGGGGGGACAGGGCAGGACCUUAAGACCCUUCUUGUAAGCGCUGGCCUACUGCCUGGGGGAAUAAAUGAUGCUCCCGGAGUCCCACAGCCUGUGCUGUGGGGCACUCGUGUUCCCCGUAACGGGUGCAGGCUGCGUCCACUGAUCAGAUUCACCCCUGGUUUGGCAGCCCGGCAUAGCAGCCGAGGCUGCACGCGCGUCCUCCGGGUGACGUCUGGCUGCGUUUCUCUCCACAGCAGAGCGCAGCUCGGACAGCACGUCACCUCCAGGCUCCCGUGGUGGUCCCCGCGCCGAGAAGCUGGCGCGGCGUGGCUUUUGUUACGGGCCACCCAGCCCUGCGGCAGCCGCUGUCGGCUACCUUGCGCCAGUCCCCCUCGUGCCUUACGCGCCCUCCGUGCUCUACUGCUCCCCGGUGGUAUCUACCUCAGCACCAGGCCUGGCCGGCCUCCCCCUCCAUCACGCCGCUGGGUACCAGCUGGCAGAGAGGACGCCACAGGUCACCCGCCAGCAAGCUCCCGGCCACCGCCACCCCCUCGCCCUGGACCUCGAUGACUUGGAUGACCUCAACUGGUCCCUGAGCCGCGCUGUGAAGGCUGCCAACAGCAUGAAGUUCACCACAAAGCAGAUGAGCCGGUCACUGACCUCCGAACUGAGCAAAGCCCGGGAGCUCCGGGGAUCUUGCCUCUUCUGAUGGGAGCUGGGGCCCCGCUGUAACGUAGCUGGGUGAAGCUGGGAAGCUGGUGGGAGGCCAGGAGAAGGCCUCAGGAGUGAUGUGCCAAAGCGACUCAUCUGUCCCUGCCUUCUCAGGAGGCAACAGGGAGAUCCUGCCUGUUUGCGCCAGAUGCUCCCUACCAGGUCUGGAGGUGCCUCUGUCCGAGCCGAGGCUGGAAGCAUCUCCGCCAGGUCCUAAACCUGCUCCUAACCCGCAUCACAGUUGCCUUAACCCUCCCCUCCCGCGUCACUAGUCUGCAAGGAGGGUGCUGCGUCCCGCCCCGAGAGGGUGCUCCACCCUCGGGGUACCUGGAGAUCCUCAGCACUGAGCCAGGAGCUUUUGGUGGUUUGUGUCCAUCCAGCUGUCUAUUUUAAGGACCAUUGAAGCUGAAGGAAGAGGUGAGAUGGCAGGAUGGCUGCUGGAGCAGAGGUCUCCUCACAGCCUCCAGCGAGCACGUUGACGUCCUCCCGUCCCCACCAUGGCACGGCUGGGUGCUGCGGCGUUUGAACACAGCCCCCGUUCGGAGGGAGACGUUUCCCUUGGGCUUAGUUUACAUUUUUUCUGGGAGCGGUCCCUCUUCCUGGUGCCCUGGACCCCGUGACGGUUCCCUCCGACUCCAUCACCUGUGCGCCCCUCUCCGUCCGGCCGCUCGCAGCCAAGUUCCCCUCCACGUCCGCCUGCAGGAGACGUGUGUACAGAAGUACCCGGCUUCCUGUUUUAUUCCCAAAGGCAAACGGAGAAGGUACUGCACUAGAAAUCUCCGGAUAGUUUAAUUUAUGUCGCUGGCUUUCCAGCCUAGCACUUAAGCAAAGCACCGGCAGGAGGUUCCCCUCCCCGCUC
ensembl:lncRNA